CAGCCGCCGCGGUAAUACCGGCGGCCCGAGUGGCGGCCACUAUUAUUGGGCUUAAAGCGUCCGUAGCCGGGUUGGUUAGUCUCCCGGGAAAUCUGGCCGCUUAACGGUCAGAAUUCCGGGAGAUACUGCCAGCCUAGGGACCGGGAGAGGCCGAGGGUAUUCCCGGAGUAGGGGUGAAAUCCUAUAAUCCCGGGAGGACCACCUGUGGCGAAGGCGCUCGGCUGGAACGGGUCCGACGGUGAGGGACGAAGGCCAGGGGAGCAAACCGGAUUAGAUACCCGGGUAGUCCUGGCUGUAAACGAUGCGGACUUUGUGUCGGACAAGCUAUGAGCUUGUCCGGUGCCGGAGGGAAACCGUUAAGUCCGCCGCCUGGGGAGUACGGCCGCAAGGCUGAAACUUAAAGGAUUGGCGGG
rnacentral:rRNA from 1 species